rnacentral:tRNA from 1 species
GCUCAGCUAGUUCAGUCAGUAGAGCAUGAGACCCUUAAUCUCAGGGUUGUGGGUUCGAGCCCCACGUUGCGUG